rnacentral:rRNA from 1 species
AGCGAACGCUGGCGGCAGGCCUAACACAUGCAAGUCGAACGAACCCUUCGGGGUUAGUGGCGGACGGGUGAGUAACACGUGGGAACGUGCCUUUAGGUUCGGAAUAACUCAGGGAAACUUGUGCUAAUACCGAAUGUGCCCUUCGGGGGAAAGAUUUAUCGCCUUUAGAGCGGCCCGCGUCUGAUUAGCUAGGUGGUGAGGUAAAGGCUCACCAAGGCUACGAUCAGUAGCUGGUCUGAGAGGAUGACCGGCCACAUUGGGACUGAGACACGGCCCAAACUCCUACGGGAGGCAGCAGUGGGGAAUCUUGCGCAAUGGGCGAAAGCCUGACGCAGCCAUGCCGCGUGGAUGAUGAAGGUCUUAGGAUUGUAAAAUCCUUUCACCGGUGAAGAUAAUGACUGUAGCCGGAGAAGAAGCCCCGGCUAACUUCGUGCCAGCAGCCGCGGUAAUAC